rnacentral:rRNA from 1 species
GACAGAGGGGGCAAGCGUUGCUCGGAAUCACUGGGCGUAAAGGGCGCGUAGGCGGGAUGGCAAGUCGGUCGUGAAAUCCUUCGGCUCAACCGAAGAACGUCGGCCGAUACUGCCGUUCUUGAGGGAUGCAGAGGAGAUUGGAAUUCCCGGUGUAGCGGUGAAAUGUGUAGAGAUCGGGAGGAACACCGGUGGCGAAGGCGGGUCUCUGGGCAUCUCCUGACGCUGAGGAGCGAAAGUGUGGGGAGCGAACAGG